GAGAGAGAGAGAGAGAGAGAGAGAGAGAGAGAGAGAGAGAGAGAGAGAGAGAGAGAGAGAGAGAGAGAGAGAAAUAGUUUAGGCAGAAGGAAGGAAAGGAAAAUAAACAAGGAAGGGAUGAGGGGAUGCGAAUGAGAGAAUUAGGGAAGGGGAAAGGAGAGGGAAAACUCCCGACGUGCAGAAGGCAAAGGAAAGCGAAGAGAAAGUGAACAUCGAGGGAAGACAGAACAAAAGCACAAGUGAAAGGCAUUUUAAAAAGCCUCCAGCCAGCUCAGGAGAUGGACCUAAACCUUUACUUGAGAUAGGCAGCAACGACAGAGAGGGAGGAGGGGAGGAGGAUGUGAAGCAGGAAGAAGAGGAGGAGGAGGAGGAGGAGAAGAGGAAGAAGAGGAGUGUGAACGUCAGCAGUAAGCAUGGUCAGACUUUGUGGGGCGUGUAAAAUGGUGGAGGAGGAGGAGGAAGAGAAGGAAACAUGGAAGAGCAGGCAGCAGAAAAAGAGAGAGAGAGAGAGAGAGAGAGAGAGAGAGAGAGAGAGAGAGAGAGAGAGAGAGAGAGAGAGAGAGAGAGAGAGAGAGAGAGAGAGAGAGAGAGAGAGAGAGACGGAUACACAGAUAGACAGAGACGGAAAGCCAGACAGACAGACAGAAAAACGGAUUGACGAUGGACAGGCUAACAGACAAAAAAAAAAGACAAGCAAAAAAAAAAGACAGAAAAAGACCUAUCGAAACAACAAACAGGACAACGCAGACAAACAAAACAAAAAGUGAAAAAAAAUAAAAAUAAAACAAACACAAAAAAUAACAAUAAAAGAAACACACAAAAGAACCAACGCCCCAUCGUAACAAUUAACCUUAUCAUUCCUAGACUAUUAAAGUACAGUAAAAAUGCGGGGAGCGAGGGAGGGGAGGCGAGGCGGGCACGGGAAGAAGAGGGCAGAAGAGAAUAGGUCGGAGGAGAGAGGGGAAGAAAAGGGGAAGGGAAGAAGGGGAAAGCCGUAACGACCUAUUAACACCUCCUAAAGGGUUUUGCAGAGAGAGAGAGAGAGAGAGAGAGAGAGAGAGAGAGAGAGAGAGAGAGAGAGAGAGAAUAACUAUAGUAGAAGGAAUGAAGGAAAGAAGAAAGGAAGGAAAGGAAAGAAGAAACAAUGAAGGGACAAGAUGAGAGAAAAAUACGAGACAGAGGAAGAACAACCAAAAGGAAAAACGAAAGAAAAACAGGAUUAAUGAAAGAAAACAAAAUUAAAGACGAAGCAAAACAGACAGAACCGCAGACGGACAGAAAUAGCCUAGAAUACACACACACACACACACACACACACACACACACACACACACACACACCAAAAAAAAAACAAGGAACCGCUACAACAUGAUAAGACACUAAACGGAUCCCCACCAAGAUCAGCGAAAGGAUGUGAGGAUGAAGAAGGAGGAAGGACGGAGGAACAGACUUUGAAGGGGCUUAGAAGAACACGGGAAGCGAGGCAGCGAGCACCAGGCGGAAGAUAGGCAGACCAAGACGACCGUGACGCAGACCAGCCGACAGACACUGACAGGAGGAAACACAGGAGGAAAGAGAGGAAAAACACGCGAAUGCCUAAAUAUUGUGAGUGUUGAUUCUGGUGCGGUUUUGCGGGAAAGAAGACAAAAACGUACGUCCAGGAAAUGUCUAAAAGCGAUGACUUGAUUUUGUGUUUUUUUUUUUUUUUACGAGAAAGAAGACAGACAGAAAGAAAAGUUCAGCAGAGGAAAGAGAGGAGAGACACGCGAAUGUUUAAAUAUUGUGAGUGUUGAUUCUGGUGUGUUUUUGCGGGAAAGAAGACAAAAAGGUAAGUCCAGGAAAUGUCUAAAAGUGAUGAGUUGAUUUUGUUUUUUUACGAGAAAGAAGACAGACAGAAAGUUCAGCGAGUGUAUAUAUUGGGAGUGUUGCUUUUAGUGUGUGUUUUUUUACAGGAAAGAAGAUAAGGAAAAAAGGAAAGAGCAGUGAGUGCCUAAAAGUGAUGAGUGUUGAUAUUAUUAUUUAAUGGAAAGAAGACUGAAAGAAAUGUAAAGACCAGAGAUUGUCUUAAAUAUUGUGAGUGGUUAUUUUGAUGUUGUUUACUACGGGAAAGGCGACAGAAAGGAAAGAAAGCCCAGUGAGUCUAUAUAUAAUAGGAAUAGUUUUUCUUUUUUUUUACGGGAAAGAAAACAGACCAUGAAAAUAAAAGAAAUUACCGCCAAACACGCUGCUCCUGUUAAGCAAGACAAGUUACAGUGACUAUUGGAUUUGUUGUUGCUUUCUUGUUGAUUAAUGAUGAUGUUGAUGAUGAUUUGUAAAUUUAAAAAAAAAUUAAGGUAAAUGCCAAAACUCCUUGAAGUUGUGGAAGAUAGAUUCAUAAAUGUUACAUAAUGCUAUAUUAAGGCAUGAUGUUGCUGAUGAUGAUUUGUAAAUUAAUAAAAAAAACGAAGGUAAAUGCCAAAACUCCUUGUAGUUGUGGAAGAUGGAUUCAUAAAUGUUACAUAGUGCUAUAUUAAAGCACACACACACACACACACACACACACACACACUUAAGGCCGGGGAGGAGAUUCUGCACCAUCAAAGCGAGCCACCGUUGCCAAUGCAUUGCUGAAGGGAAGCAGGUCAGGCAGCUCUGCGUGACCCUCCUCCUGGCAGCCGCUUAGGGACGAGGGCAACGAUGCCAGAUUGUCGUACUCAGUUUCUCAUAUUUCCCGAUUUCCAUCCCAAAAACUGUUUCCUGGGCCACAAUAACGAGAUUUAUUUGUAGUUAUUGUUGAAAUGGUUUAUUAUUCCUGUUUCCUGGUGAUAUUUACGGGGAGAAGCUGGUUAAUGUGAUGCUCCGAGUACGAUGACCUGGCAACGGUGGACGAGGGGCACCGCGCUGGCUUGGCUGAAUGCUCAUGGUGGUGAAGGGGACAUACGACAACUCCGUGGCAGCGCAUCUUGGCAAGGCUGUGCAUUAACUGAGCGUGCGCGGUGACGAGGUAAAGACAUAGAGCCGAUUUCACAGUCCAACACAGUGUCUUCGUAACAGCCCGAACCAAACUAUAGAAUCCCAUACAAUCCAGAAUGGUGAGGUCUUCGAUGCCAUACUAAAUACACAAGACUUUUCCUGUAUAGUUUCAUCAAAUUUGUGAACUUAAAUAUAAACACUAGACACUAUACAAGGAAAUUUCGAAGGCUCUGGUAUUGGUUUGGGAGCUUACUAACCCAUCAUGGGGAACUACUAAACUGGCCCAAAGUAGAGUCAGGUAUUGUGUGUGAGGAAGCUCCUGAGACACAAAGUCGUGGUGUGGUGCUGGCGCAGAGAGAGGUAUAGUGAUAUAGUGAGUACGCACGGAGAAGAGGAGGGGAGAGCCAUAACGACCUACUAACACCUCUUGAUUUUUUUUUCUCACCCUUCGCUGAAAUUGAAAAAGUUGCGGCGCGGUAAGUCGUAUAAUUAGCGUGCCCGGUGCCGAGACGCAGAAGGUACAUUGCUGGGAGAUAAUCCUGCUUUACUGGGAAACAUAAAGGUGGUGUUACAGUCGUCCAUUAUAAAAGUGUGCACGGCGCUGACACAACCUUGCUUCACUGGAAAACAACCCGUGCCACAUUCGUGUAUUAAAGGUGCACGGUGCUCAAAGGCGACCCCGUUCACACACACACACACACACACACACACACACACACACACACACCAAAAGAAAAGCUCGUGGCACUGUCCAGUUUCAUGAGAGUGUGCGCGGCGCUGAGAUACAAGGAGCCGGCAUCGCUGACACACGGGAAGAAUGUAAACGGUCGGCGCGCCAAGGUGGAGCAAGGACGAGCGUGGGAGGCAUUAAGGCCGCAACACAGCACAGCACAACACAGCACACUACGCGGAGCAACACAGCAGGGAUUAGUGUGGGAGGUGCGACGGCCACAGCACAGCACGUAGAGGCUAUAAGACCAAACAAAAAUAUGGAACAACAGGGAAGAGAAAAGUCAGAUAAGAAAAAAAUAAGCAAACAACUAUGUGAGCAAAAGAAAGUUAACGGUAAAGGGAGAAGAGCAAGAAAAACAAGAAAAACAGCGAAAACAACAAGCCGUGGCAGCAUAGAAAGAUGUCUUACUAAUAACAAAAAAAAAAAGUGGAAGAAGUGACAGAAGAACAGUAAUUAAACACACACUUUUAUCUAGUGCUUGUGCAUGUGAUGUUGGAUAACUUUCCUGCAAAUGCUGAGAAAAGACUUCUAAGAGGACAGAACUUUGGGCGAAUACUGAAAACAUUACUUUUUACGAGGGAAAGAGUUGGACCUUUUUAAUAUUAACAUGCGUGCCUGUGAUGCUGCAUUGUGUGUGUGAAUAUUGAGAGACUUUCGGAGGCUUUAGUCAAGUUGUUUUGAGAUCUGCAAACCGCGAUGGUGGUAGUGUGAAGGUGACUGGAAGAGGUGAUGUGAAGGUGACUGGAAGAGGCAAUGUGAAGGUGACUGGAAGGGGUAAUGUGAAGGUGACUGGAAGGGGUAAUGUGAAGGUGACUGGAAGGGGUAAUGUGAAGGUGACUGGAAGGGGUAAUGUGAAGGUGACUGGAAGGGGUAAUGUGAAGGUGACUGGAAGGGGUAAUGUGAAGGUGACUGGAAGGGGUAAUGUGAAGGUGACUGGAAGGGGUAAUGUGAAGGUGACUGGAAGGGGUAAUGUGAAGGUGACUGGAAGAGGUAAUGUGAAGGUGACUGGAAGGGGUAAUGUGAAGGUGACUGGAAGGGGUAAUGUGAAGGUGACUGGAAGGGGUAAUGUGAAGGUGACUGGAAGAAGUAAUGUGAAGGUGACUGGAAGGGGUAAUGUGAAGGUGACUGGAAGAGGUAUUGUGAAGGUGACUGGAAGGUGAUUGCGAAUAUGACCCUCUCUUUUUAGCCUCUCGUUCUGGUUUCUUCAUAGGAGCAGCACAUAGCGGCCUCACUGUUUGUUUAUUUGUGUGUUUGUUUGUAUUUGCCUUUCUGCUGUUUCUUUGACUGUGAAGAAACAUGGAAGUGAAAAAAAAAUGAUGAAGUAGCUACUGGUUAAAACGAAAACACUUCAGCUAACUUUCAUCGCCUUCACUGCACGCUUCGUUGUGAUCUGUGGACUUGAGCAAAGGACGGAUGAUAUGGAGUGGAAUAGAUAUGGUGACUGCGAGAGAACGAAGAGGUUUUUUUUUUUUUUUUUUUUUUCUUACAUCAGAGGACACGGCUUAAGGGCAAUAAAAAGAGUACAAAAUAAAAGCCCGCUACUCGCCGCUCCUAUAAAAGAUAAAAAUAAAGAGUAGCCAAAAGAGAGGUCAGUUUCGGAUGAUGAGGUCACGGGCUCGAAUAGUAACUCCUCAACACAAAGGCUACAACUGCAAGGCCUCACCGCUGCAGACGAAAGCAUACAUGUUUCUACUGGAUCAUAAUUUCUGCAUUGAACUUUUUUCUCUGUUAUACACCUAUUAACCUGGUAGCAGCGAGGAUCAUGUUAGUUAAUGGUCCCUCCAAGCGAGAUAAAUGAGAAAAAAUCAUCCCUCACACAAACAAUUUCAUAAUAUAUAUCAAAGCAUUUGUGAUCAGAUUAUGUAUCAUCUAUUUUGGGAGGGUUUAUAUCAUUUCACAAAUUUGGCCCGUCGCUGCUACACGGUAAAGCCACAAAUUUGGACCGUCGCUGCUACACGGUAAAGCCACAAAUUUGGACCGUCGCUGCUACCAGGUUAAGCGUACUUCCUCAACACAAACUCAACACAAAGGCUACAGCUGCAAGGCCUCACCGCUUUAGACGAAAAUAUACACGUUUCUGCUGGAUCAUAAUUUCUGCACUGCAUUUUUUUUUCUUUUAUACACCUAUUAAGCGUACUUCCGUCCCCAUUUCGCAAAUUCAAACGAUGAAAAACAUUGCAACUAUUUAAUAAAGAGAAAAAUACCCUUUACAAAAAUGUGCGUUGUGAUAAUCUGACGUACUACUGUGUUAUAUUACGGAUAAUGAGAGAAUUUUUUUGGAUAAGGGAAUAAUUAGUUGCAAUGUUUUCAUCGUUUAAAGUUAUGAAAUGAGGACGGAAGUACGCAUAAAAGGUGCAUAAAAAAAUAAAAAAAUGCAUUACAGAAAUUAUAAUCCAGCAGAAGCGUAUAUAAUUCAUGAGUUGUACACAAAGCAGGUUUUCAGGAACUACUUAACAUACUGGAGCGGGGAGGACAAAAAGAAACGAAAACAGGAGAAGAAAUUUAUGUGUACGUGUGCGUGUGCGUGUGCGUGUGUGUGUGUGUGUGUGUGUGUGUGUGUGUGUGUGUGUGCAAGGUGCGUGGUGUGCGAGGAAUACCGAAAGAAGGUAAAUUGCACAAGGCGAGGAGAGCAAGCAAGUCGUGACCAGCAACCCAACCCCACGAGCCUUCCUUCGGCGCUGGAUGCACACGAGACCGACGGGCGAUAAACGUGUGAGUGAAUAAGAUACACACGAAGACAAAAGAACGCACACACGAGGAUGACAUUAGGUAUACACGGGGAUUAAACACGUAGUAGCGGGCUUUUUUUUCUUUAAUAUUGUUUUCUUAUUUUUUACGCCCUUGAACUGUCUCCUUUGCUGUAAACACACACACACACACACACACACACACACACAAGGCAAACUAAAAUCCGAUUGAACACGUUAAAAGAAGUGACUUGAAGAUCCGUUUUUUUUGUAUGUGAGAGAGAAUAACAGGGAAAAAAAAAGACACACACAACGAUGAGAAAAAUAAAACAUAACCGAAUUGAAAGGGAAUUCCAGCAAAAAAGCAAAACAGAGAUGCAUCGCAAACCAAAAAAAAAGAAAAAAAAGGAAAAAAGAAAUGAAGGGAAAUGAGAUAAAAUGAAACUAAUCGUACUAUAAAGAAUGGGGGGAAAAACACAAGCAACGAUAAGAGAAGAAAGAAAAAACGAGUCGACAGGGAACUCAACCACAAAAGCAGGAGACAAAGACGCACUGACCACCAAAAAAAAAAAAGAAAGCAAGAAACAAAAUGAAAUGAAACGAAACUAAACGUGCUACAAGAAACUGACUACCGAUGACCUUUUGCGAACACAGACAACAAAAACAAUAAAAAAAGGCUUGACAAAAGGGGAGGGCGGUGAGUGGGUGAUAUAUACGAAGGUGAGGAGCGAGGCACGGAGAGAGUGAAGCGCAGGUGACGAGAAGAGGCUU